AAAUUGAAGAGUUUGAUCAUGGCUCAGAUUGAACGCUGGCGGCAGGCCUAACACAUGCAAGUCGAACGGUAACAGGAAUCAGCUUGCUGAUUCGCUGACGAGUGGCGGACGGGUGAGUAAUGUCUGGGAAACUGCCUGAUGGAGGGGGAUAACUACUGGAAACGGUAGCUAAUACCGCAUAAUGUCGCAAGACCAAAGAGGGGGACCUUCGGGCCUCUUGCCAUCGGAUGUGCCCAGAUGGGAUUAGCUAGUAGGUGGGGUAACGGCUCACCUAGGCGACGAUCCCUAGCUGGUCUGAGAGGAUGACCAGCCACACUGGAACUGAGACACGGUCCAGACUCCUACGGGAGGCAGCAGUGGGGAAUAUUGCACAAUGGGCGCAAGCCUGAUGCAGCCAUGCCGCGUGUAUGAAGAAGGCCUUCGGGUUGUAAAGUACUUUCAGCGGGGAGGAAGGGAGUAAAGUUAAUACCUUUACUCAUUGACGUUACCCGCAGAAGAAGCACCGGCUAACUCCGUGCCAGCAGCCGCGGUAAUACGGAGGGUGCAAGCGUUAAUCGGAAUUACUGGGCGUAAAGCGCACGCAGGCGGUUUGUUAAGUCAGAUGUGAAAUCCCCGGGCUCAACCUGGGAACUGCAUCUGAUACUGGCAAGCUUGAGUCUCGUAGAGGGGGGUAGAAUUCCAGGUGUAGCGGUGAAAUGCGUAGAGAUCUGGAGGAAUACCGGUGGCGAAGGCGGCCCCCUGGACGAAGACUGACGCUCAGGUGCGAAAGCGUGGGGAGCAAACAGGAUUAGAUACCCUGGUAGUCCACGCCGUAAACGAUGUCGACUUGGAGGUUGUGCCCUUGAGGCGUGGCUUCCGGAGCUAACGCGUUAAGUCGACCGCCUGGGGAGUACGGCCGCAAGGUUAAAACUCAAAUGAAUUGACGGGGGCCCGCACAAGCGGUGGAGCAUGUGGUUUAAUUCGAUGCAACGCGAAGAACCUUACCUGGUCUUGACAUCCACGGAAGUUUUCAGAGAUGAGAAUGUGCCUUCGGGAACCGUGAGACAGGUGCUGCAUGGCUGUCGUCAGCUCGUGUUGUGAAAUGUUGGGUUAAGUCCCGCAACGAGCGCAACCCUUAUCCUUUGUUGCCAGCGGUCCGGCCGGGAACUCAAAGGAGACUGCCAGUGAUAAACUGGAGGAAGGUGGGGAUGACGUCAAGUCAUCAUGGCCCUUACGACCAGGGCUACACACGUGCUACAAUGGCGCAUACAAAGAGAAGCGACCUCGCGAGAGCAAGCGGACCUCAUAAAGUGCGUCGUAGUCCGGAUUGGAGUCUGCAACUCGACUCCAUGAAGUCGGAAUCGCUAGUAAUCGUGGAUCAGAAUGCCACGGUGAAUACGUUCCCGGGCCUUGUACACACCGCCCGUCACACCAUGGGAGUGGGUUGCAAAAGAAGUAGGUAGCUUAACCUUCGGGAGGGCGCUUACCACUUUGUGAUUCAUGACUGGGGUGAAGUCGUAACAAGGUAACCGUAGGGGAACCUGCGGUUGGAUCACCUCCUUACCUUAAAGAAGC
rnacentral:rRNA from 1 species